UGCAAAUUCCCGCCUAUCCUCUAUGCUUAAAAGCGUCGUCAAGAUGCUUCAUUGCUUUUAGGCGUCGUUCAGGACACGUGCAGUUCACGUGUUAUGUUAAAUAGUGCUUCACCUUCUAGGAACGCUAUACAAGAAGUCAAGAACGAAACCGCCUAACUUCCCACUUCAGUACUCCACGCACACACGAACCCUAAUUCUUCACAAUUCAAUCUCAGUCUCAAAUCUAGCCUAAUUCACUCUCCAGUUCGUGCGCCGCAGGUAUGUCUCCGAUUCUUACCGUUUUUUUUUUUUUUUCAUUUCUUCGAUUUCUUCAUUAAAUUGUUCAUCUUCAACCUCCUAUCAGUCUUAAAGCAAUUGCGAAGAUUUUCGCGAAAUUGAAAUAUUUGACAACGAAUUUCUGGAAAUUUCAAUUCAAGUCGUCAGCAGGUUUGUCUCGAAUGAUUGCCUUUUUUCUGCAAUUCUGUAACAUUCUCAUCCGAUUUUCUAAUUUCCAUAAAAAUUCUGCAAUUUGACAUCGAAUUUUCUUGAAAUUUCCAUGCAGUAUUUAACAUAGUCGAGCGAGUGAUUUCUUGUUUCCAUAUAUAAGUAUCUAAUUUAAUCUGUUUUUACACUAAUGCUUUUGGUAGCUUUCUUUUACUCAGUAACUACUAUAAUGAGAUCAUCUCUCAUAUCUUUUCUCUGGCAGAUGUUGAUGAGUGUGCUGGGCCAAACAACCCUUGCUCUCAUACAUGUACCAACUCCCCUGGUGGUUACAAGUGCUCUUGCCCAAAAGGACAUCAUGGCAACAGUCUGAAAAAUGGCACCCAUUGUUCUAGUGAUCAUUCAGAGUUCGUAACAAGGUUCAGUUUAGAGAUGCUGGCAGAAACUUUAUGUCGUGGUUCAUUGAGUUCAAUGAACAUAACAUUAUAUGUAUGCGAAGCUAGAUAUGAGCUGUUAUUCUCGCGGUACUCGAAAAUAAUGAAGGUGCAACAGAUCAAGAACGGAUGGCUUCAAAGUAGC